rnacentral:rRNA from 1 species
CUACGGGAGGCACCAGUGAGGAAUAUUGCACAAUGGGGGGAACCCUGAUGCAGCAACGCCGCGUGGAGGAUGACGCAUUUCGGUGUGUAAACUCCUUUUAUAUGUCAAGAAAAUGACGGUAGCAUAUGAAUAAGCACCGGCUAACUCCAUGCCAGCAGCCGCGGUAAUACGGAGGGGUGCAAGCGUUACUCGGAAUCACUGGGCGUAAAGGACGCGUAGGCGGGUUGGAAAGUCAGGUGUGAAAUCCUACAGCUUAACUGUAGAACUGCACUUGAAACUUCUAAUCUAGAGUAUGGGAGGGGGAGAUGGAAUUAGUGGUGUAGGGGUAAAAUCCGUAGAUAUCACUAGGAAUACCUAAAGCGAAGGCGAUCUCCUGGAACAUUACUGACGCUAAGGCGUGAAAGCGUGGGGAGCAAACAGGAUUAGAUACCCCCGUAGUC